rnacentral:rRNA from 1 species
ACGCUCGACACCUACGGGAGGUAGCAGUGGGGAAUAUUGCACAAUGGGGGAAACCCUGAUGCAGCGACGCCGCGUGAGCGAAGAAGUAUUUCGGUAUGUAAAGCUCUAUCAGCAGGGAAGAAACUGACGGUACCUGACUAAGAAGCACCGGCUAAAUACGUGCCAGCAGCGCGGUAAUCUGAGGCGGGCUGGACAAGGC